GGAGGGCGCUGCGGGCUGCGCGGAGGCUGCGGGAAGCGCGGGGAGCACGCGGAGCCCGACUAGCAGGGAGAUCGCGUCGCGCCGGGCACAGGCACGGGACCCGCGCUCUAGGAGGGCGCAGCGAGAGGCGCACUGCGCACCCAGGGGCUGCGGUCCCGGCCGCCGUGCGGUGACAAGCUGACUCCCCGCCGCCGCCCAGCCAAGUCCGCGCGGGGUGCUGGCGGAGAUGUCGCAUGGGAGGCUUCUUCAACGAGGAUUAGAACAUCCGACAUUAAAAUGUCUCAGUGCAGCAGAAUUUCCCAGCGACUUCGGUGGCGGGAGAGCAGCACCUCUCAGGCACAGCUGUGCGCAUCCCUCGGGCCCCACCGACCGCACCAUCUGACCGCGGGAAACGAAAUCUGAGCUCAGGAAUUUGAACUGCCCCACGCACGUUCGUUCCCGGAUAAAUCUCCUAGAGGACCGUGAUUUUUCCACUUAGAGAUUAUUUAGGGAGAUGUCCUGGAUGGGACAAGUAGACAAAUGGCGGCCCGAGGAAAAUGCAGGAAACUCUACAUUGUAGACGCUUAAGCACCAACUGUCUGGGCCCCGGGGCAGGGAACGGGAGACAUUAUCCACCGGAAACAUCACACCCCCGGGGCUCCUGGCAUUUUCUACAUCAGUGAAUGUGCCAGCGAAGAAGAGUGUGGGGAAAUUUUCUGAACAUAGAAUUCAUAUUCCUGAAACGUUAAGUCGUGAAGUGGGUGCUUCAGCUGUCCCCCAGCUUUAGGAUUUUAACCCAGCUUUGGUUUUGAUCACCGAGAGUUAUUCCUUAUAAUCAAAUCAGCAAAAGCGUUCAAUUACCUAUUACUGGUUGAGAAAGAUUCCGUUCCCCCAGCUCAUUGUAUCGGUUCUUGGACCCAAGAUGUUAAUUAUCGGCCAGGCAUUCACAGGGGGUUAAUAUGGCCCCCCUCGACACCUUGCCUCGUACCAGAGACACCAAAAGCUGCCGCUGAGGGAUAAUAGAGAAUGGGAAAAGCUGGUCAUGAAAAACCUCUUUUAUUCUUACUUGCAAGCUACCCUUUUGACAUUCUUUUUUUAACACUAAAUGGAGAUUACUGAAUUGAUAACUUUUGGGUUUUCUCUGUCACACUGGGGUUUUUUUCCCCCCGUUUGUUUGUAAGGUUUUUUUGGUUUUGGUUUUGGUUUUGGGGGGAGGGGAAGGGGGAAGUGGAUAGGGAGAUGGAAGAGUGUUCUGUUACUGGUUUUAUCAAAUCCUGUUAGGUCUUGUUCUUCAGUGUAAUGUAGAAUGGAGAAGUUGCAUAAGUACAUGAUUGACAAACAAGGUCUCUUAGAAGAGAGUUAAGGAGUAGGAAAUAUAAUGUGUCCUGGAGAAAAAGAAAGAGAAAACCCUUAGUAUGACACACUGGCCUUUAAAUAGAGGACACAUGAAUAUGCAAAGGAGAGGCACGUGUGAAAUAAGGUGUGCCUUGCUGAGCCCUCCCGCCCCCACCCCCCAUGUAUCAAGAACUUUACUUACAUUAUCUCAUCUAAUUCUACCCACAACCCAAGAGGAAGGGCGAUACUUUUAAUUCGGGUUUUUACAGACAAGAAAUUUGUAUCUCAGAGGCCCAAAGUAAAUUGCCUGAGGGCAUAUAGCUACUUAGGACAGAAUUAGAAUUGAUUAAAGAGUCAAAAAUUCUUUGAGAAUUAAUGUUUUAAACUCUCGAUUAGUUACCAAGGGAAUCUGAGAAAUUAAUUAACUUUUGGGGGGAUCUUUAGAUUAGUGGGGAAAUUAUGUUAAGCCCAAAGAAAGACAAGCCCGUGAAUUUUCUUGUUAUCUAUGAAGUGGUUUGGUGAAAGGUGUGACAAUUUGAGAAAACUGAAAAGUGCUGAAAUUCCUUUAAUAAGGUUCUGUUUAAACUGAUAGAGCUACCAGAUAUAAUUAGGCAGAUAUCCAUUUUCUUCUGGAAGCUUCUAUUAUUUGAGAAGAAAACUGAAAAGCUUUAGACUGUUUCAAAUUAAGGACAAUUUGAAUUUUAGUUGGAAAGCGGAUAAACUAUCUGUAUGAUUGAGUUUAAAAGGCAUGGAAAGACUAUUACGAAGUAUUGAUCCCACUCAGUGAGAGCAAGCACAGCUUUCAAAUGAUACAGAUCUGGCUAUGAAUUUGAAUGGUGACUGUGCCUAGCUGUGUGACCAAGGGCAACUUUCUUAACCUCUCUGGGCCUCUGAGUCCUCGUCUUUAAAAUGAGACAAAUAAGCCCUUGCAAGACGCUUGUGAUGAUAAAAUAAAAGAGUAUGGGUGAAAGUCCUUAACAGAAUGCCUGAUAUGUAGCAGAUACUCAACAGAGUUAGCAAUGUUUCAUUUAAUUAAAGCAUUUGAGAGCAGGAUAGGGAGCACCACUAACUUCAGCUCUUCAACAAUUUUGCCUGGGGCUGGCUCUGGGGAAUAGACUUGGAUUCUCACGAGUAUGUGAAUCUUCAGUUACUUCCUUGAAAGGACAGACAGUUAUAAAAGCAAGCAGUGAAGUCUGGGAAGGUGGAGGAGAAUGGUUAUGGAAAGUUAUCCCCACAUCAUAAGUCUUCCUGAUCUUGAGAUCAAACAACAACACUUUCAGAAACAGCAAGAAAUUAAGGCUGAAGCAAAAUACCCCCUGUAUAAUUUUUAAGUCAGUUAAUAAUGAAGGUGUAAAUAAAACAGAAAUGUCUCUGUUCUUACUUAAAUCUUGAACAAAUAAGGGAUUUUUUUCUUUAGUGUUUUUUAAUAGUUUAAUCAUUUUUUAAGACACAAUUUUUGCCUAGUUACUGUUUACUAACUGCCCUGCCAAAAAUUAGUUAUUACUUCAGGACUUAUGUUUGAAUAGAACUGCGAAAUCCUGCUUUAAAAAGUACUAUGAAACAAUUCAUCAAAAUGUUUUCCUCUGAUAUUUUUUACCAGGUAAAGGCAAGAUUACUUCUGGAGAUUUUCUUUGAAAAUAAUGAUUUUUUUUUCCUGAUUAUGAAAGUAAUACACGUUCAUUAUGGACAAUUUAGUAUAAAAUGAGAGAACAAGCUAUAAAGGAGCAAACGAGAACACCCUUAUUCUCACCAGUAAGAGUUAACCACUUUUAAUAUUUUGAUGAUUUCUUUCAGUCUUUUUACCCUUUAUUUUUUUAGCCUUGGUACGAACCUAUGGAGUAUAAAAUUGUGCAUUCUUGUUUUUAUAUUUAUUUUCUCCCAUGUAACUAAAAAGGAUCUGUAACAUUUUUAGUGACUGUCUAAUUUUAUAUCAUACCAAUAUGAUAUAUUAGUAUCAUUUUUUAAGAAACAAUAGAGAA
ensembl:lncRNA LINC01415 long intergenic non-protein coding RNA 1415